UACGUAGGUGGCAAGCGUUGUCCGGAUUUAUUGGGUUAAAGGGUGCGUAGGCGGUCUAUUAAGUCAGUGCUGAAAUAUCCCGGCUUAACCGGAGGGUGGCAUUGAUACUGAUGGACUUGAGUGCAGUCGAGGUAGGCGGAAUUGACGGUGUAGCGGUGAAAUGCUUAGAUAUCGUCAAGAACACCGAUAGUGAAGACAGCUUACUAGGCUGUAACUGACGCUGAGGCACGAAAGUGUGGGGAUCAAACAGG
rnacentral:rRNA from 1 species